rnacentral:lncRNA from 1 species
GCGGAACCAAGGACAGGGGACUGAGAGGUGAAGUAGUAACCCAGGCGAGGAAGGCUCCUUUGGCCUGUUGCAUCUCCAGUGGAGAGGUUCAUGGGGAUAGAGUGGCAUGUUCAAAAAGGGUGGGGACAUCUAACCCUCAGUGCCUUAUGUCCAGCAUAAGGCUGGAAAACUUGUCUUACUCCAGCACUCUCAACUUCCCCCGACUUACCAUGAAGUAGGGAGUCUUUUUUUUUAUCCCCAUUUUACGAUUGAAAACAAAACAGAGAGAAAAGAAAGAAACGGAUGCUAAGGACAAGUGGCUAAGCUGAGAACUGAAACAAUGUCUUGGGUGCCCAGUCGAAUGCUCACUCCACCACCUGGCCUUCCAUCUAUCAUGAGCUGUGUCGUAAAACUGAUAAAUGGCAGUGCCUAUGGAGGGUGUCAGACACCCCAACACCUCCUUUCAAGAAUACUGAAGAACCUGCUUAUGGCUGAAAUCAAACACAUCGUGCCAGCUUAAACUUGUGCUUUCUCAUUCUCCUCCCAAAUGUAUUCCUUAGAAGGUCUAAUUAUAGUGACUUCUAUUUUCUUGUAAAUAAUCACAUCUGUCAUAACUGAUUUAACUGAUCCAAGGCUCCAAGUUGGCAGUCUUGGCGGCCUGAGCCAAUGUGUCAAUUAUGCCAAGAAGGCUGUGAGCAAAAGUUGCAUGAAAUGGGAGAGAGAGGGGAAAAAAAAAUUAGUCACAGUCAUAUAGAUGGUGGGGACCAAUAUGUGCUUUUUCACAACAGUAAUAUCAAUACAAACUCUUAAACGUGGCCAAGGCAUGUCAAUCCCUUAGCAAUCCAACUUAGUGGAAUAGAUGAAGCCAGCCAGUUCUCAGAGAAUAAAAACAAUCUUUUUAGUGGAGAGCCAAGCCCAGGAAGUCUAAGUAUAUACCCCUGAGAAUUUGCUGCGGAUCCUUAUGCUUGUUUCUCGGGAAGAAGGAUGGGAUGAAGGGCUUCCAGGUUUCAUGCCUCUGGGGCUCUUUGGGGCUACCUUCUGAGUGUAGCUGUCAUGUAGCAGAGAGUACUAGUUAGGUCUGGACUUGAGUUCUAGUCUUCUCUCCCCUCCUAACUUACCAGUACUUUAGCGUGGCUAAGCAAACCAGCCUUCCGAAUUUAUCUCUGCUUCUUCAUAUAUAAGCAGAGAGACAAGAGUGCCUACCUCCCAGAAUCUGUGUGGGAUGGAGUGGUACGACGACUGUAUGCGACAGCCUGUUGGAAAGAACAAGCUCUAGCCGUUGUCACCAUUAACAUAUCAGCAUAUACCAAAUCCCGUUUUCAAUCCAUGGAACUGGCUUCUUCCUCUGCUCAAACCACUCUAGAAAAUCAACUUGCUAUUUGAGCCUGAGAGUCCCCGUGUCUGACGAGAAGCCACAAAGAUUAUUUUUAUUCUCUGCAUAGCAUAGGGAAAGGAAAAGCCCAGCACCUGCAGGAAAUGGACACUUGCUCUGAGUGACCCAAACCUGGCUGCUGGUGUAGCCUGCCUUGGUUCUGGCCAAUCUGCAUGAGCAGAGGGGUUGAGAUGACCGACUCUGAAGCCAGCCUGACUGGGCUUUGAAUCAGGCUCAGCUACUUAUUUACGGUGUAUUCUUGGGCAAGUUAUCUCAUCUAUAAAAUGAGGGCAAUGAUAGUACCUACUUCUUAGGGUGAUGGUAAAGAAAAAAUGCAUUACACAGGGUAGCUUACAACAGGGGCCUGGCCUGAGGGAGGCAAUCAGUAUGUACUGGAACUUACUACUACCGCAGUGCUGGUCAUCCUAAAGGCCAAUGGCUUCCUCCCCUCAUCCAGAGUUCAUUAAUGCCGUGCUUAACACUUUAGCCCCUUUAGAAUUUUAUGCACCAUGCUCCUUACUAGGCUGGAAAAUGUGUGGCCAAUAGAGGAGUUCUGAAAUGAGAGGGCAGUGCUAAGAGCCUGUGAUUGAUACCUGAAUCUUCCAGAGAGGCUCAGAUUCACUUCCUUCAAAGGCAUUUCAUUUCUAGAGCAGAUAUGGGAGAGAAAGGGUUCUGGACCAAGAAUCAGGGACCCAGUCUUUGCCGAGUGCUUUUCUGGGUCUUAAUUUUCUCAGUUGUGAAAUAAAAAUGAGAGUUCUGGC